rnacentral:rRNA from 1 species
UACAGAGGUGGCGAGCGUUGUUCGGAUUUACUGGGCGUAAAGGGCGCGUAGGCGGCCGAGCGUGUCGGGUGUGAAAUCUCCGGGCCCAACCCGGAAAGUGCGCCCGAAACUGCCCGGCUCGAGUGCGGGAGGGGGGAUCGGAAUGCAGGGUGUAGCGGUGAAAUGCGUUGAUAUCCUGCAGAACACCGGUGGCGAAGGCGGAUCCCUGGAACGCAACUGACGCUGAGGCGCGAAAGUGUGGGGAGCAAACAGG